GGGGAUGUAAUGACAGUGGUAGAAUAAUUCUUUUGCAAAGAAAAAAUAGCGGUUCGAUUCCGCUUAUCUCCA
rfam:Eimeria maxima Weybridge genomic scaffold, Emw_scaff1647